GAUGAACGCUGGCGGCGUGCUUAACACAUGCAAGUCGAACGGAAAGGCUCCUGCUUGCAGGGGUACUCGAGUGGCGAACGGGUGAGUAACACGUGGGUGAUCUGCCCUGCACUUCGGGAUAAGCCUGGGAAACUGGGUCUAAUACCGGAUAGGACGAUGGUUUGGAUGCCAUUGUGGAAAGUUUUUCGGUGUGGGAUGAGCUCGCGGCCUAUCAGCUUGUUGGUGGGGUAAUGGCCUACCAAGGCGUCGACGGGUAGCCGGCCUGAGAGGCUGUACGGCCACAUUGGGACUGAGAUACGGCCCAGACUCCUACGGGAGGCAGCAGUGGGGAAUAUUGCACAAUGGGCGCAAGCCUGAUGCAGCGACGCCGCGUGGGGGAUGACGGCCUUCGGGUUGUAAACUCCUUUCGUCAGGGACGAAGCGAAAGUGACGGUACCUGGAUAAGAAGCACCGGCUAACUACGUG
rnacentral:rRNA from 1 species